ACAAAACACGACACAAAUCUUAACGGGCGUAACUACCAGGAAGCUUUCCCCAGGAUUCAGCUCGAGGUCGGUGCCCCUCUCCCUCUGUCUCCGUCUCCCCUAUUCAAUUCGGAAGCAACGCAACACGCGAAAACCGGAAGCCCCACCACCCCGAAUGGACCGAUCCGUCGCUCUCAGCCGUCGAUUCCCGCGCAGCGACCCUUCACCGCCUUACUGUUUCUGCUGGGAUUUUUCUCGAGCACCUUGUCGGCAUAAGCCCCCCAAACCCAUAUAAGCUCCCCUGCACCUCCACUCCCCGACCAUUUUACGCAUUUUUUCGCUCAGUCUCUCUCUGUUUCUGUCUCUGUAUUUUGUCUCUCUCUCUCUCUCUCUCUCUCUCUCUCUCUCUCUCUCUAGUGCUUCUCGCUGAGAGAGGUGAAAAAUUCGAUGAACCCAGAAGAGGAGCGAUGCCCGAAAUCUCCUCCCGGUUCUUCUGACCGCGGGAGAGGUAAAGGCAAGGCUCCUGCCGGUGCCGGGUCGUCUUCUUCGGCCGCGUUGCAGCCCGAAACGCCGUCGUUCGUGAUGGGUUCGGAGGCAUUGCCUUCUGGGUCGUUCUUCGAUAUGGAGAGCAUUGGCCUCUCCGGGUCUCCUUUGCCUCUCAUGGAGUUCGAGGCGUUCUCUCCUUUGAACACGUCCUCGUCGUUCGACUUGUUUUUCGAGGUGAAACCGGAACCUGUUCUCGAAACGACCCGUCCUCUCGGGCCUCCGUUUGGUGCUGGUGCAGCGGAAACAGAGGAGGCAGGAUUUCCGGCGAGAGGCGGUGACAUGGAGACUACUGUCGGUGCUCCUCAGCCUCUGGAGCGCCUACAGGGUACGCCAGUCCCACCGUUUCUUUCGAAGACCUUCGAUUUGGUCGAUGACCGAUCGUUGGAUCCAAUCAUAUCGUGGGGGUCGAGCGGCGAGAGCUUCGUGGUGUGGGACCCUGUUGAAUUUGCCAGGAGUGUACUCCCAAGGAACUUCAAGCACGGCAAUUUUUCCAGUUUUGUUCGGCAGCUAAAUACUUAUGGGUUCCGCAAGAUUGACACUGAUAGAUGGGAGUUUGCUAAUGAAGCUUUUCAGAGAGGGAAGAGGCAACUUCUAAAGAACAUUCAAAGACGUAAGUCGACUCAGACACAGCAGAUUGGAAGCUACUUUGGACCUUCCAGUGAAGCAGUGAAUCCUGGGUUGGAAUUUGAAGUGGAGAUGUUAAAGAAGGAGAAGAGUAUGUUGAUGCAGGAGGUAGUUGAACUGCAGCAGCAGCACUGUGGAACAGCUCAACAUGCAGAAGCAGUACAUCAGAGACUUCAAGCUGCUGAGCAAAGACAAAAGCAGAUGGUUUCGUUCAUGGCAAAAUUGCUUCAAAACCCAUCCUUUGUAGCGCACUUGAGGGAAAAAAAGGAACAGAGAGAAAUCGGUUCUUCAAGGGUGAGGAGGAAGUUUCUCAAGCAUCAUCAGCCAGAGGAUGUUGAAGCAGUCGCGUCUAGGGAAGGGCAGAUAGUCAAGCACAAACAUGAUAUGGGGACUCUUGAUGCAUCUUCUGGAUCUCCUAUUUUGAAUCCUAUUCCUGUCGAAAACCCUAAACAUCUCCCUGAAGCUUCAACUGGCACAGGUUUAGGUGAAGAGAAGAUUCCGCCUCAAGUUGAGGAUGUCCUGUCAAGAGAAGCAAGGAUACCACAUGAUAUAGCAUCUGUACAGGGCUAUCUCAAAACUCGGGAUCUGCUUAGAGAGGGGUCAUCAAGCUUGGGAGCUGAUCCCCAACUCAAGGGGAAGAGUGUCAGUGAGAGCUCAGGGCAAGAGUUCACUCCUCAUUACUUUGUCUCUUUCCCAGAGGAAUCGGCAGAGAUGAAGGACUUUCCAGAUUUCUCGUCAGGGUUCGAAAGCAUGAUUAAGCAAGAAGAGGUAUGGGGCAUGGGUUUUGACGUGAGUGCUGGUAUGUCUAGUUCUAGUGGUGUGGAAUGGGGUAGUCUUGCUCAAUAUGAUGCACUGGAAGUGGGAGUCACUGGUGGGCUAUCUGAUAUAUGGGAUUUAAGAUCAAUGCAAGCAUCUGGGCGUUCAGACAUUGAUAAGUGGCCGGCUGAUGAAGCAACCCGUGAUGAGCAUGAGGGUCAAGCUGGCCAGCAUAAAGAUGAUAUACAUAGGGAAAUGGAUCCAUAGGUUGCCCUUUAUGUUGCCAAUUGAUGAUUAUAUGGAUUUUAGUAAUUGUUAGUUGAUGGCGUCUAUGCUCCUAGAUGAAAAGUAUAGACACUUAUUGAUUAGUAAAAGCUUCCAUUCUUGAUUGAUUCGAGUCUUGGUUCUCAGCAAGGUUUCUGGUUCAGCUGAUUUGCUAAUACAAGUUUAUGUCCUUAUGAGCUGCACUAGAGUUGCAGGGCUUUCCUUGGCUCACAAUGUCCUUUUCUUUUGAGUUGUGAAAUUGCAGGUACCUGACCUUGGAUGGAGAUGGACACUUCCAUGGGAGUUUGGUUGCUUUUCUGAACCUGGACUGCAGGGUAAUGGUUCACAAACUUGGUUCUGAUGAAGGUGAGCUUCAAUCUAUACAAAUCUCUUUAUCAGAAUCUGUGUCAUGGUGCAUGUGCAACCGCAUCAACGAAGAUCAUCCCUAUUUGGCCCACCUUUGAGCAUGGCACUUUACUCGCCCACCAUCCUUUAGAUACAUAUUUUUCGUGUAGCUUGAUGGAGAGCGAAAAAUGCAGUCCGCAUGCAUACUCACUAUAUUCAGUAUGAAUUUAUUUGGACUUGCCUUCUAACCGAUCCACUUGUAGUUGAUUCUUGAGUCAGUUAUGAAGCUAUCGACGGUGA